rnacentral:rRNA from 1 species
GAGACCUCAGGUCAGGCGGGGCUACCCGCUGAGUUUAAGCAUAUCAAUAAGCG